rnacentral:rRNA from 1 species
AGCGAACGCUGGCGGCAGGCUUAACACAUGCAAGUCGAGCGGGCACUUCGGUGUCAGCGGCAGACGGGUGAGUAACACGUGGGAACGUACCCUUCGGUUCGGAAUAACGCUGGGAAACUAGCGCUAAUACCGGAUACGCCCUUUUGGGGAAAGGUUUACUGCCGAAGGAUCGGCCCGCGUCUGAUUAGCUAGUUGGUGGGGUAAUGGCCUACCAAGGCGACGAUCAGUAGCUGGUCUGAGAGGAUGAUCAGCCACACUGGGACUGAGACACGGCCCAGACUCCUACGGGAGGCAGCAGUGGGGAAUAUUGGACAAUGGGCGCAAGCCUGAUCCAGCCAUGCCGCGUGAGUGAUGAAGGCCUUAGGGUUGUAAAGCUCUUUUGUCCGGGACGAUAAUGACGGUACCGGAAGAAUAAGCCCCGGCUAACUUCGUA